AGGAGGCAGCAGAGCGAACCAUGAAGAGGAGGGAGCGGAGAGAGUGGGAGGCCCGGAGAAGGGACAUCCUCUUUGACUAUGAGCAGUAUGAAUACCAUGGGACAUCGUCAGCCAUGGUGAUGUUCGACCUGGCGUGGAUGAUGUCCAAGGACCUGAAUGACAUGCUGUGGUAUGUAGGCCCCAGUCAGGGUCAUUGCCAUGCAGGGCUUCCUUCUCUGAGUAGCCCUGUCCUCCCACCGUGAGGCAGGUUCUGGAGGAAGAUGUCCCCACAUGUACAUCCCUUGUUCCC